UACGGGGGGAGCAAGCGUUGUUCGGAUUUACUGGGCGUAAAGGGCGCGUAGGCGGCGCGACAAGUCACUUGUGAAAUCUCCGGGCUUAACCCGGAGCGGCCAAGUGAUACUGUAGUGCUAGAGUGCGGAAGGGGCUACUGGAAUUCUCGGUGUAGCGGUGAAAUGCGUAGAUAUCGAGAGGAACACCUGCGGCGAAGGCGGGUAGCUGGGCCGACACUGACGCUGAGGCGCGAAGGCCAGGGGAGCAAACGGG
rnacentral:rRNA from 1 species